GUAAACGGCGGCCGUAACUAUAACGGUCCUAAGGUAGCGAAAUUCCUUGUCGGGUAAGUUCCGACCUGCACGAAUGGCGUAAUGAUGGCCAGGCUGUCUCCACCCGAGACUCAGUGAAAUUGAACUCGCUGUGAAGAUGCAGUGUACCCGCGGCAAGACGGAAAGACCCCGUGAACCUUUACUAUAGCUUGACACUGAACACUGGUCCUUGAUGUGUAGGAUAGGUGGGAGGCUUUGAAGCGUGGACGCCAGUCUGCGUGGAGCCAACCUUGAAAUACCACCCUUUAAUGGCUGGUGUUCUAACGUAGACCCGUGAUCCGGGUUGCGGACAGUGUCUGGUGGGUAGUUUGACUGGGGCGGUCUCCUCCCAAAGAGUAACGGAGGAGCACGAAGGUUAGCUAAUCCUGGUCGGACAUCAGGAGGUUAGUGCAAUGGCAUAAGCUAGCUUGACUGCGAGAGUGACGGCUCGAGCAGGUGCGAAAGCAGGUCAUAGUGAUCCGGUGGUUCUGAAUGGAAGGGCCAUCGCUCAACGGAUAAAAGGUACUCCGGGGAUAACAGGCUGAUACCGCCCAAGAGUUCAUAUCGACGGCGGUGUUUGGCACCUCGAUGUCGGCUCAUCACAUCCUGGGGCUGAAGUAGGUCCCAAGGGUAUGGCUGUUCGCCAUUUAAAGUGGUACGCGAGCUGGGUUUAGAACGUCGUGAGACAGUUCGGUCCCUAUCUGCCGUGGGCGCUGGAGAAUUGAGGGGGGCUGCUCCUAGUACGAGAGGACCGGAGUGGACGCAUCACUGGUGUUCGGGUUGUCAUGCCAAUGGCACUGCCCGGUAGCUAAAUGCGGAAGAGAUAAGUGCUGAAAGCAUCUAAGCACGAAACUUGCCCCGAGAUGAGUUCUCCCUGAGACUUUAAGUCUCCUGAAGGAACGUUGAAGACUACGACGUUGAUAGGUCGGGUGUGUAAGCGCAGCGAUGCGUUGAGCUAACCGAUACUAAUGAACCGUGAGGCUUAACCUU
rnacentral:rRNA from 1 species